rnacentral:rRNA from 1 species
CCUACGGGUGGCUGCAGUGGGGAAUAUUGCACAAUGGGCGCAAGCCUGAUGCAGCCAUGCCGCGUGUGUGAAGAAGGCCUUCGGGUUGUAAAGCACUUUCAGUCGUGAGGAAGGUAGUGUAGUUAAUAGCUGCAUUAUUUGACGUUAGCGACAGAAGAAGCACCGGCUAACUCCGUGCCAGCAGCCGCGGUAAUACGGAGGGUGCGAGCGUUAAUCGGAAUUACUGGGCGUAAAGCGCAUGCAGGUGGUUUGUUAAGUCAGAUGUGAAAGCCCGGGGCUCAACCUCGGAAUUGCAUUUGAAACUGGCAGACUAGAGUACUGUAGAGGGGGGUAGAAUUUCAGGUGUAGCGGUGAAAUGCGUAGAGAUCUGAAGGAAUACCGGUGGCGAAGGCGGCCCCCUGGACAGAUACUGACACUCAGAUGCGAAAGCGUGGGGAGCAAACAGGAUUAGAUACCCUAGUAGUC